UUAAAUAUAUUUUAACAAUUAGCGCUCAGUUUCUUUUUUUGGUUUUUUUCACAUACAAACAAAUAUGCUUUGGCCAGUGUUUGUGACUAAAUGGCUACUAAAAAAGUCUGGACAUACCCCAUUUGUAAUACCUUGGGUUGUCUACUUUUGCAAAUGGUAUGCCAUCAUGAGGGUAAUUUUAAUUCCUGGGCUACCGUACGGUCUCAAAGGCAAUAUAACCAAUCUUGCAAAUUUCAAUGUGUAUAUACUGAAAAGUGUAACAUGCUAUAUUUGACCCUGUAACUUCCCAAAACACCAUAAAACCUGUACGUUGGGGAUACUGUUUUACUCAUAAGAAAUCGCUGAAUACAAAUAUGUGUACUUUAUUGCAGCUAACAGAAUUAUGACAUUCACAGUUAAAAUGCC